rnacentral:rRNA from 1 species
UACAUGGGGUGCAAACGUUGCUCGGAAUUAUUGGGCGUAAAGCGCACGUAGGUGGUCUGUUAUGUCAGAUGUGAAAGCCCUCGGCUUAACUGAGGAAGUGCACCUGAAACUGGCAGGCUUGAGUACGAAAGAGGGUCGCGGAAUUCCCGGUGUAGAGGUGAAAUUCGUAGAUAUCGGGAGGAACACCGGUGGCGAAGGCGGCGAUCUGGGUAGAUACUGACGCUGAGGUGCGAAAGCGUGGGGAGCAAACAGG